rnacentral:lncRNA from 1 species
CGUGAAUUUCUUGACAUGAUCUGAGAAAAACUGUGAGUAAAAAAGAUGAGUUUUUUCAAUUUGUUUCUCACUCUUGUUGUGCUUCUCUCUGCAAAUGGUGAAUCCAGUAGUAAAGGUGAAACCUUUAUUGUUUCCAGCUUCAGCUACCCUCAUACUAGACUUACACCCUUUAAUUUACGCUAUAUAAGAGGUUUGUGUCCUAAUUUACAGUGACCCUUUUGUUUUUUACUCAUUUAUUGUUGUUGUUUAUGAAGAAGCUUGAUUUUAGUGUUAAUUUUGGUUAGUUGGAAUUGGAUUUGAUCUUACUUGCUUCAUCUUCAAAGUCUAGGAGGUUUGCAUAAUUGGUAAGUUUUUGUUUAGGGAAAAUCGAAGAGACUGGUUAUUGGAAUAAUGAAUCUUGUGUUUAAUGUUAAUUAUGCUUUUAAAGGAGUUUAUGAUAUGGAAGGGAGAUGGAUCUGAUGGGUAGAAGAAUGACAGUGGUGGUGGUGGUUUGAAGAACUAUGGUGAUGGAAAAAACGGGAAGAAGAAUUAUGAGAAGGAACUUUCAGUGUGAUGAUUUUUCUGGGUUUGGAUGAAUUUUGUAGGUGUUGAAGCGUU